rnacentral:rRNA from 1 species
GAUGUGGAGUCGCAUAGACAGCCAGGAGGUUGGCUCAGAAGCAGCCACCCUUGAAAGAGUGCGUAACAGCUCACUGGUCUAGUGGUUCCGCGCCGACAAUGUAGCGGGGCUCAAGCACACCACCGAAGACGCGGCAGUAUUUUGUACUGGGUAGGAGAGCGUCCCAUGAGGGGCGAAGCGGCCGUGUGAACGCGCCGUGGACUUCAUGGGAGUGAGAAUGCAGACAUGAGUAGCGAGAGACGGGUGAAGAUCCCGUCCGCUGGAUGACCAAGGGUUCCAGGGCCACGUUCAUCGUCCCUGGGUGAGUCGGGUCCUAAGGCGAGGCCGACAGGCGUAGUCGAAUGGAUGAACGGGUCGAUAUUCCCGUACCGGCUUUCAGCCGCCAAAACCGAGGCUUGGAGUACUAACCUCCGGGUCCGGGCUUACUGCUCCUUCGGGGGCGGGAUGCCCUGGCCUGUUGGGACCGAUCCUUGUAGUAGGUCAGCGCAGGAGUGACGCAGAAGGGUAGCCGGCCGCGGAGGUGGUCUUCCGUGGUCAAGCACGCAGGGCGUGGGACAGGCAAAUCCGUCCCGCAUGGGUCCGAGGUGCGAUGAUGGGGGCCUUAUGGCCCGAUAUCCGGUGAUCCCGGCUGCCGAGAAAAGCUUCGGCGUCAGGCUCAAAGCCGCCCGUACCCCAAACCGACACUGGUGGUCAGGUAGAGAAUACCAAAGCGAUCGAGCGAAUCCUGGUCAAGGAACUCGGCAAAUCACUCCCGUUCCUUCGGUUUAAGGGAGACCCCCGAUGGUGAACACACUUGCUGUGGGAGCUUUUGGGGGUGGCACAGACCAGGGGGUAGCGACUGUUUACCAAAAACACAGGUGCAUGCGAAGGCGCAAGCCGCUGUAUAUGCACUGACGCCUGCCCGGUGCCGGAAGGUUAAGAGGAUCCGUCAGCCUUCGGGUGAAGCGGUGAAUUCAAGCCCCUAAACGGCGGUGGUAACUAUAACCAUCCUAAGGUAGCGAAAUUCCUUGUCGGGUAAGUUCCGACCUGCACGAAUGGAGUAACGACUUCCGCACUGUCUCAACCAGAAGCUCGGUGAAAUUGCAUCGCGAGUAAAGAUGCUCGCUACGCGCGGCAGGACGGAAAGACCCCGGGACCUUUACUGCAACUUGGUAUUGAGGCUCGGUAUGACACGUGCAGGAUAGGUGGGAGACUUUGAAGCGUGGACGCCAGUUCAUGUGGAGUCAUCCUUGGAAUACCACCCUUGUCAUGCUGAGUCCCUAACAUCCAUCCGUUAUCCGGAUGAUGGACAGUGCCUGGUGGGCAGUUUAACUGGGGCGGUUGCCUCCCAAAAGGUAACGGAGGCGCCCAAAGGUUCCCUCAGACCGGUCGGUAAUCGGUCGUCGAGUGUAAAGGCACAAGGGAGCUUGACUGCGAGAGAGGCAUCUCAAGCAGGUACGAAAGUAGGGCUUAGUGAUCCGACAGUGGCGAGUGGAAGCGCUGUCGCUCAACGGAUAAAAGGUACCCCGGGGAUAACAGGCUGAUCUUCCCUAAGAGUCCAUAUCGACGGGAAGGUUUGGCACCUCGAUGUCGGCUCAUCGCAUCCUGGGGCUGAAGCAGGUCCCAAGGGUUGGGCUGUUC